GAUGAACGCUGGCGGCGUGCCUAACACAUGCAAGUCGAACGGAGUCGUUUUGGAAAUCUCUUCGGAGAUGGAAUUCUCGACUUAGUGGCGGACGGGUGAGUAACGCGUGAGCAAUCUGCCUUUAAGAGGGGGAUAACAGUCGGAAACGGCUGCUAAUACCGCAUAAAGCAUUAAAUUCGCAUGUUUUUGAUGCCAAAGGAGCAAUCCGCUUUUAGAUGAGCUCGCGUCUGAUUAGCUAGUUGGCGGGGUAACGGCCCACCAAGGCGACGAUCAGUAGCCGGACUGAGAGGUUGGGCGGCCACAUUGGGACUGAGACACGGCCCAGACUCCUACGGGAGGCAGCAGUGGGGAAUAUUGCGCAAUGGGGGAAACCCUGACGCAGCAACGCCGCGUGAUUGAAGAAGGCCUUCGGGUUGUAAAGAUCUUUAAUCAGGGACGAAACAAAUGACGGUACCUGAAGAAUAAGCUCCGGCUAACUACGUG
rnacentral:rRNA from 1 species